CCUACGGGUGGCAGCAGUAGGGAAUUUUCGUCAAUGAGCGCAAGCCUGAACGAGCAAUGCCGCGUGCACGAGGAAGGUCUUCGGAUCGUAAAGUUCUGUUGAAGGGGAAGAAGAGCGGAGAGAGGAAAUGCUUUCUGAUUGAUAUUACCCUUCGAGGAAGUCACGGCUAACUACGUGCCAGCAGCCGCGGUAAUACGUAGGUGGCGAGCGUUAUCCGGAAUGAUUGGGCGUAAAGGGUGCGUAGGCGGCCUGAUAAGUCUGGAGUAAAAGGUAGGGGCUCAACCGGGACAGGCUUUGGAAACUGGCGAGCUAGAGAGCGGGAGAGGGCAGUGGAACUCCAUGUGUAGCGGUAAAAUGCGUAGAUAUAUGGAAGAACACCAGUGGCGAAGGCGGCCGCCUGGGCUGUUACUGACGCUGAGGCACGAAAGCGUGGGGAGCAAAUAGGAUUAGAUACCCUUGUAGUC
rnacentral:rRNA from 1 species